rnacentral:other from 4 species
AGUUAUCUGGUGUGUGCGUUGUUUACACAUCGUGCGAACCGAACAUUUUUUUAUAACAUAGGGAUUCUGUUGGAGAUUGGUGAUGACAGGCCUUUUCACUUGGAAGUCAGUAUCUAGCUUCUUGAAACCCACCUGCAGUUACAUGCGGGUUCAUUAUAUGUGUAUAUUUAGACGGCACUAUCGGAUAACUU